rnacentral:rRNA from 1 species
GAUGAACGCUGGCGGCGUGCCUAAUACAUGCAAGUCGAGCGAACAGACGAGGAGCUUGCUCCUCUGACGUUAGCGGCGGACGGGUGAGUAACACGUGGAUAACCUACCUAUAAGACUGGGAUAACUUCGGGAAACCGGAGCUAAUACCGGAUAAUAUAUUGAACCGCAUUGUUCAAUAGUGAAAGACGGUUUUGCUGUCACUUAUAGAUGGAUCCGCGCCGCAUUAGCUAGUUGGUAAGGUAACGGCUUACCAAGGCGACGAUGCGUAGCCGACCUGAGAGGGUGAUAGGCCACACUGGAACUGAGACACGGACCAGACUCCUACGGGAGGCAGCAGUAGGGAACCUUCCGCAAUGGGCGAAAGCUUGACGGAGCAACGCGGCGUGAGUGAUGAAGGUCUUCGGAUCGUAAAACUCUGUUAUUGGGGAAGAACAAAUGUGUAAGUAACCAUGCACGUAUUGACGGUACCUAAUCAGAAAGCAACGGCUAACUACGUG